AUUGAACGCUGGCGGCAUGCCUUACACAUGCAAGUCGAACGGCAGCACGGGGGCAACCCUGGUGGCGAGUGGCGAACGGGUGAGUAACGCAUCGGAAUGUACCCAGUAGUGGGGGGAUAACUAGUCGAAAGAUUAGCUAAUACCGCAUACGCACUGAGGUGGAAAGCGGGGGAUCGCAAGACCUCGCGCUAUUGGAGCAGCCGAUGUCCGAUUAGGUAGUUGGUGGGGUAAAGGCCUACCAAGCCUGCGAUCGGUAACUGGUCUGAGAGGACGACCAGUCACACUGGGACUGAGACACGGCCCAGACUCCUACGGGAGGCAGCAGUGGGGAAUUUUGGACAAUGGGCGCAAGCCUGAUCCAGCAAUGCCGCGUGUGUGAAGAAGGCCUCGGUUGUAAGCACUUUAUCUAGGAACGAAAAGACGUUAGGAGUUAAUACUCUGACGUGCUGACGGUACCU
rnacentral:rRNA from 1 species